CCAGCAGCCGCGGUAAUACGUAGGGUGCGAGCGUUAUCCGGAAUUAUUGGGCGUAAAGAGCUCGUAGGCGGUUUGUCGCGUCUGUCGUGAAAGUCCGGGGCUUAACCCCGGAUCUGCGGUGGGUACGGGCAGACUAGAGUGCAGUAGGGGAGACUGGAAUUCCUGGUGUAGCGGUGGAAUGCGCAGAUAUCAGGAGGAACACCGAUGGCGAAGGCAGGUCUCUGGGCUGUAACUGACGCUGAGGAGCGAAAGCAUGGGGAGCGAACAGGAUUAGAUACCCUGGUAGUCCAUGCCGUAAACGUUGGGCACUAGGUGUGGGGACCAUUCCACGGUUUCCGCGCCGCAGCUAACGCAUUAAGUGCCCCGCCUGGGGAGUACGGCCGCAAGGCUAAAACUCAAAGGAAUUGACGGGGGCCCGCACAAGCGGCGGAGCAUGCGGAUUAAUUCGAUGCAACGCGAAGAACCUUACCAAGGCUUGACAUGUUCUCGAUCGCCGUAGAGAUACGGUUUCCCCUUUGGGGCGGGUUCACAGGUGGUGCAUGGUUGUCGUCAGCUCGUGUCGUGAGAUGUUGGGUUAAGUCCCGCAACGAGCGCAACCCUCGUUCCAUGUUGCCAGCACGUAAUGGUGGGGACUCAUGGGAGACUGCCGGGGUCAACUCGGAGGAAGGUGAGGACGACGUCAAAUCAUCAUGCCCCUUAUGUCUUGGGCUUCACGCAUGCUACAAUGGCCGGUACAAUGGGUUGCGAUACUGUGAGGUGGAGCUAAUCCCAAAAAGCCGGUCUCAGUUCGGAUUGGGGUCUGCAACUCGACCCCAUGAAGUCGGAGUCGCUAGUAAUCGCAGAUCAGCAACGCUGCGGUGAAUACGUUCCCGGGCCUUGUACACACCGCCCGUCAAGUCACGAAAGUUGGUAACACCCGAAGCCGGUGGCCUAACCCUUGUGGGGGGAGCCGUCGAAGGUGGGACCAGCGAUUGGGACUAAGUCGAACAAAGUUGCCCCC
rnacentral:rRNA from 1 species